CUCCAAUAGCGUAUAUUAAAAAUUGUUGUGGGUAAAAAACUCGUAGUUGGAAUUCUGCUGAGGACGACCGGUCCGCCACUGGGUGAGUAUCUGGCUCGGCCUUGGCAUCUUCUUGGAGAACGUAUCUGCACUUGACUGUGUGGUGCGGUAACCACGACCUUUACUUUGAAGAAAUUAAAAUGUUUCAAGCAGGCGUGCGC
rnacentral:rRNA from 1 species